rnacentral:rRNA from 1 species
GAAUCUUGCGCAAUGGACGAAAGUCUGACGCAGCCACGCCGCGUGAGUGAAGAAGGCCUUCGGGUUGUAAAGCUCUGUCAUUAGGGACGAAAAGCCAUUAGGUGAAUAGCCUAGUGGUCUGACGGUACCUAAGGAGGAAGCACCGGCUAACUCCGUGCCAGCAGCCGCGGUAAUACGGAGGGUGCAAGCGUUGCUCGGAAUUAUUGGGCGUAAAGGGCAGGUAGGUGGUCUUAUUUGUCAGGGGUGAAAGCCUUGGGCUUAACCCAAGAAGUGCCUUUGAAACGGUAAGACUAGAGUCCUGGAGAGGCUAGUGGAAUUCCCGGUGUAGCGGUGAAAUGCGUAGAGAUCGGGAGGAACACCAGAGGCGAAGGCGGCUAGCUGGACAGGAACUGACACUCAACUGCGAAAGCGUGGGGAGCAAACAG